rnacentral:rRNA from 1 species
CCUACGGGUGGCAGCAGUGAGGAAUAUUGGUCAAUGGACGAGAGUCUGAACCAGCCAAGUAGCGUGAAGGAUGACUGCCCUAUGGGUUGUAAACUUCUUUUAUAUGGGAAUAACAUGUUCUACGUGUGGGCUUUUGUAUGUACCAUAUGAAUAAGGAUUGGCUAACUCCGUGCCAGCAGCCGCGGUAAUACGGAGGAUCCGAGCGUUAUCCGGAUUUAUUGGGUUUAAAGGGGGCGUAGGUGGAUUGUUAAGUCAGUUGUGAAAGUUUGCGGCUCAACCGUAAAAUUGCAGUUGAAACUGGCAGUCUUGAGUGCAGUAGAGGUAGGCGGAAUGCGUGGUGUAGCGGUGAAAUGCUUAGAUAUCACGAAGAACUCCGAUUGCGAAGGCAGCUCACUGGACUGCAACUGACACUGAGGCUCGAAAGUGUGGGUAUCAAACAGGAUUAGAUACCCCAGUAGUC